CAAAUGUCUCUGUUGGAAGUACUGAAGCCUGCUUCUGUUCAAGUACUCUACUUUCGAAAAGAUGAGUUCACAGACAAUGCUAUUGAGGUUGUGCCAUCUUCAUGGCUUGGACACACUUCUGAGCAUGGCAUGGUCUGCUACUGGACGACACACAAUGUGCAAUUGCAUGUUGUGAAGUGCCGAGCACCAAAUACAACUUGGGCCAAACAUCCCGUUAAGAAAACCUGGUACGAAACAGAUUCAUACGCCAAAGCUGAACAGAAGUGUUUGCAAUUGAUGGAGUCCUCAAGUGUUGAGACAGAGGAUGAUGUGAACACUUUUGCAAUAAGGCAACGCAAG